rnacentral:rRNA from 1 species
AACGCGAAGAACCUUACCAGCUCUUGACAUGUCUCGUAUGGGGGCCGGAGACGGUUUCCUUCAGUUCGGCUGGCGAGAACACAGGUGCUGCAUGGCUGUCGUCAGCUCGUGUCGUGAGAUGUUGGGUUAAGUCCCGCAACGAGCGCAACCCUCGCCCUUAGUUGCCAUCAUUCAGUUGGGCACUCUAGGGGGACUGCCGGUGAUAAGCCGAGAGGAAGGUGGGGAUGACGUCAAGUCCUCAUGGCCCUUAUGGGCUGGGCUACACACGUGCUACAAUGGCGGUGACAAUGGGAUGCUGAGGGGCGACCCCGAGCAAAUCUCAAAAAGCCGUCUCAGUUCGGAUUGCACUCUGCAACUCGAGUGCAUGAAGGUGGAAUCGCUAGUAAUCGUAGAUCAGAACGCUACGGUGAAUACGUUCCCGGGCCUUGUACACACCGCUACAGU